rnacentral:tRNA from 1 species
UAGAAUAUAGUGUAUAGGUAGCACGGAGAGUUUUGAGUUCUUCAGUUUAGGUUCGAUUCCUAUUUUUCUAG